rnacentral:rRNA from 1 species
CCCGCUCAGAAACUACAAAGGAAUUGACGGGGCCCGCACAAGCGGAGGAACAUGUGGUUUAAUUCGAUGAUACGCGAGGAACCUUACCCGGGCUUGAAAUGCAUCUGACCGGCCUUGAAAGAGGUUUUCCCUUCGGGGCAGAUGUGUAGGUGCUGCAUGGUUGUCGUCAGCUCGUGCCGUGAGGUGUCGGCUUAAGUGCCAUAACGAGCGCAACCCUCAUCAUUAGUUACCAUCAGGUAAGGCUGGGGACUCUAAUGAGACUGCCAUCGUAAGAUGUGAGGAAGGUGGGGAUGACGUCAAAUCAGCACGGCCCUUACGUCCGGGGCGACACACGUGUUACAAUGGGUGGUACAAAGGGCAGCUACCUGGCGACAGGAUGCUAAUCUCCAAAACCACUCUCAGUUCGGAUCGGAGUCUGCAACUCGACUCCGUGAAGCUGGAUUCGCUAGUAAUCGCGCAUCAGCCACGGCGCGGUGAAUACGUUCCCGGGCCUU